rnacentral:rRNA from 1 species
GCGAACAGGAUUAGAUACCCUGGUAGUCCACGCCGUAAACGAUGUCGACUUGGAGGUUGUUCCCUUGAGGAGUGGCUUCCGGAGCUAACGCGUUAAGUCGACCGCCUGGGGAGUACGGCCGCAAGGUUAAAACUCAAAUGAAUUGACGGGGGCCCGCACAAGCGGUGGAGCAUGUGGCUUAAUUCGAUGCAACGCGAAGAACCUUACCUACUCUUGACAUCCAGAGAACUUAGCAGAGAUGCUUUGGUGCCUUCGGGAACUCUGAGACAGGUGCUGCAUGGCUGUCGUCAGCUCGUGUUGUGAAAUGUUGGGUUAAGUCCCGCAACGAGCGCAACCCUUAUCCUUUGUUGCCAGCGGUUAGGCCGGGAACUCAAAGGAGACUGCCAGUGAUAAACUGGAGGAAGGUGGGGAUGACGUCAAGUCAUCAUGGCCCUUACGAGUAGGGCUACACACGUGCUACAAUGGCGCAUACAAAGAGAAGCGACCUCGCGAGAGCAAGCGGACCUCAUAAAGUGCGUCGUAGUCCGGAUUGGAGUCUGCAACUCGACUCCAUGAAGUCGGAAUCGCUAGUAAUCGUAGAUCAGAAUGCUACGGUGAAUACGUUCCCGGGCCUUGUACACACCGCCCGUCACACCAUGGGAGUGGGUUGCAAAAGAAGUAGGUAGCUUAACCUUCGGGAGGGCGCUUACCACUUUGUGAUUCAUGACUG